rnacentral:rRNA from 1 species
GACGAACGCUGGCGGCGUGCUUAACACAUGCAAGUCGAGCGGGAAACUUCGGUUUCCAGCGGCGGACGGGUGAGUAACACGUGGGCAACCUGCCUCACAAUGAGGGAUAGCCCUCCGAAAGGAGGAUUAAUACCUCAUAACACAAGAGAAACGCAUGUUUCUCUUGCCAAAGAAUUUCGUUGUGAGAUGGGCCCGCGGCGCAUUAGCUUGUUGGUGAGGUAACGGCUCACCAAGGCUUCGAUGCGUAGCCGACCUGAGAGGGUGAUCGGCCACAUUGGAACUGAGACACGGUCCAGACUCCUACGGGAGGCAGCAGUGGGGAAUAUUGCACAAUGGAGGGAACUCUGAUGCAGCAACGCCGCGUGAGUGAUGAAGGUCUUCGGAUUGUAAAGCUCUGUCUUCUGGGACGAUAAUGACGGUACCAGAGGAGGAAGCCACGGCUAACUACGUGCCAGCCGCCGCAGUAAAAC